CCUAUCUGGUUGAUCCUGCCAGUAGUCAUAUGCUUGUCUCAAAGAUUAAGCCAUGCAUGUCUAAGUCCAAGCUGUGUUUUUAACAUGGCGAGACCGCGGACGGCUCAUUAAAUCAGUCGUAGUCCGAAUGGGCCAGUGCUAUCUUACUUGGAUAACUGUGGUAAUUCCAGAGCUAAUACAUGCAACCGAUGCUCCGAAGUCUUCACUGACCGACGAGCGCUUUUAUUAGACCAAACCACUGUGGGCUACUGCUUGAUGCGUUCGCGCGUGUCUUGAAAAGGGCUUUACACGUAUUAUGGUGACUCUGGAUAACCAAUUUAUUGACGAGCGCACAUACCCUUCCCGGGAUGGCGCCGCCACUUUCGAGUGUCUGCCUUAUCAGCUAUCAAUCGUUGGUUACACGCCACCGAUGGCUUUGACGGGUAACGGGGAAUCAGGGUUCGAUUCCGGAGAGGCAGCCUGAGAGACGGCUACCACGUCUAAGGACGGCAGCAGGCACGCAAAUUACCCAAUCCCAGCUACUGGGGGAGGUAGUGACGAAAUAUAAUGAUGCGGGCGCCCUUUUUAGGGCCCCGCAAUCGGAAUGAGCAUUUUCUAAGUAACCUGUCGAGAACCUACUGAAGGGCAAGUCUGGUGCCAGCAGCCGCGGUAAUUCCAGCUUCAGCAGCAUCUAUUAAAGUUGCUGCGGUUAAAAGGCUCGCAGUUGAAUGUCGCUGCGUAGUGUUGUGGAGAUGGACGUUGGAGACGUGUGUUUUCUCCCGUCCACAAAAAAUCUCCCUCACUCACGUACAUAUACUGUUUCUGUUUUGGAGGAUUCGGUGAUAGCGCUUGUGGUUCGUUCUUGUUGCUCGUUGCGGAGUGGUUUUCGUGUCUUGCGUUUCGGCGUGGGCGCGUCUACUUUACCUCUUGCGCGAUGCUGGUUCGGCUCUUGCGUUCCCUCGCCGUAUUAUAUGUCUCUUUGGAUACGUUGUCACCUUGAGUAAAUCAGAGUGCUCAAAGCAGUCGUGAAUCAGGAGCGCUUCGGCGUCUUCUAUAAACAGUGUGUCUCUUGUGCCGUCAUUUUCUUGCCUAGCGUGAGGAGUGUCGGUAUGGAGGCGGACUGACUUGGUUUUGCAUGGUAUGUCGGAAGAUGGCGUCGGGUUUGCUGGCUCAGUGAUUAAAGCAGUGGUAUAAGCCAGCCCCGACGUACUGAUUAACAGGAACGGCCGAGGGCACUGGUAUUGCGAGGCGAGAGGUGAAAUUCUGUGACCCCCGCAAGACCUUCUGAAGCGAAAGCGUCUGCCAAGGACGUUUUCAUUAAUCAUGAACGAAAGUUAGAGGAUCGAAGGCGAUCAGAUACCGCCCUAGUUCUAACCGUAAACGAUGCCAACCAUCAAUCCGCGCGUAGUACCCUGUAUGUCGGGCUCGGCGGGCAGCUCCUUCUUCACGGGAAACCAGAGUCUCUGGGUUCCGGGGGGAGUAUGGUCUCAAGGCUGAAACUUAAAGGAAUUGACGGAAAGGCACCACCAGGAGUGGAGCUGCGGCUUAAUUUGACUCAACACGGACCAUCUUACCAGGCCAGUACGCUAGCAUGAUUGACAGAUUGAGAGCCCUUUCUCGAUUAAGCGGAUGGUGGUGCAUGGCCGUUCUUAGUUGGUGGAGUGAUCUGUCUGGUUAAUUCCGAUAACGAACGAGACUCUCCCCUGCUAACUAGUCGGUUGGAUCUUUUCAUUAUUGGUGAGUCGUGCACCUUUGGUUUAUAGCGCUUGCGUUAGUACGCGUCGUUUCUGUUGAGGCGCCGAUGCUUAACGGUGUCGUGUAUUUUGAUGGUGCGGCGUGUGCGCGCAUGUCGUCAACGCCAUCGGAUCGUACACUCAAAGUCCGCCGCCUAUGCUCCUUAUGUGAUGUAUAAUUCUUCUUAGAGGGAUCCACGGUACUGAAACCGUCAGAGACUGAGAGCCAUAACAGGUCUGUAAUGCCCUUUGAUGCUCUGGGCCGCACGCGCGCUACACUGCCGGACACAGCAGGUGUUUUCCCUUCUCCGAUAGGAGCGGGUAACCCUAUGAAAGUCCUUGUUCUCUAUCUAUGUGAAUAGCGGCGUGCUUGGGCCUGGGGCUUGCAAUUGUUUCCCACUAACGAGGAAUUCCUAGUAGCGGCGGGUCACUGAGCAUCGCCGUGACUUAGUCCCUGCCCUUUGUACACACCGCCCGUCGCUACUACCGAUUGAGUGUAUUAGUGAGAACCUUGGACUGGCGACCGUUGUUUGCUCACGCUUACGACGGCUACGACGGAAAGAGGUUCGAACUGGUGCACUUAGAGGAAGUAAAAGUCGUAACAAGGUUUCCGUAGUGAACCUGCGGAAGGAUCAUUA
rnacentral:rRNA from 1 species